UUAAGUUCAGCGGGUAUCCCUACCUGAUCCGAGGUCAAAGACGGUUGGUCAUCUUCGGUGGGUCGCGCCCCGGAGCCGCCCUCGAGAAGCGCAAUGUGCUGCGCGAGAGGGGGCAAGGGACGCUGCCAAUGGAUUUGGGGCGAGUCCGCGCGCCGAGGCGGGACAGACGCCCAACACCAAGCAGAGCUUGAGGGUGUAGA
rnacentral:misc_RNA from 1 species